rnacentral:ncRNA from 1 species
UGAAGCUUUAUAGAAGAGAUGUCAUUUUGACACACCGAAGGAGUCGCACUCUCAGGUACUUUUAUAAGUAGGACUGUAAAGC